rnacentral:rRNA from 1 species
CCUACGGGAGGCAGCAGUAGGGAAUCUUCCGCAAUGGACGAAAGUCUGACGGAGCAACGCCGCGUGAACGAUGAAGGCCUUCGGGUCGUAAAGUUCUGUUGUUAGGGAAGAACAAGUGCUAGUUAAAUAAGCUGGCACCUUGACGGUACCUAACCAGAAAGCCACGGCUAACUACGUGCCAGCAGCCGCGGUAAUACGUAGGUGGCAAGCGUUGUCCGGAAUUAUUGGGCGUAAAGCGCGCGCAGGCGGUUUCUUAAGUCUGAUGUGAAAGCCCCCGGCUCAACCGGGGAGGGUCAUUGGAAACUGGGAAACUUGAGUGCAGAAGAGGAAAGUGGAAUUCCAAGUGUAGCGGUGAAAUGCGUAGAGAUUUGGAGGAACACCAGUGGCGAAGGCGACUUUCNGGUCUGUAACUGACGCUGAGGCGCGAAAGCGUGGGGAGCAAACAGGAUUAGAUACCCUGGUAGUCCACGCUGUAAACGAUGAGUGCUAAGUGUUAGAGGGUUUCCGCCCUUUAGUGCUGAAGUUAACGCAUUAAGC